rnacentral:rRNA from 1 species
UACGUAGGGCGCAAGCGUUGUCCGGAAUUAUUGGGCGUAAAGAGCUCGUAGGCGGCUUGUCACGUCGGGUGUGAAAGCCCCGGGCUUAACCCCGGGUCUGCAUUCGAUACGGGCUGGCUAGAGUGUGGUAGGGGAGAUCGGAAUUCCUGGUGUAGCGGUGAAAUGCGCAGAUAUCAGGAGGAACACCGGUGGCGAAGGCGGAUCUCUGGGCCAUUACUGACGCUGAGGAGCGGAAAGCGUGGGGGAGCGAACAGG